UACGGAGGGUGCAAGCGUUAUCCGGAUUCACUGGGUUUAAAGGGUGCGUAGGAGGGCAGGUAAGUCAGUGGUGAAAUCUCCGAGCUUAACUUGGAACUGCCGUUGAUACUAUCUGCCUUGAAUAUUGUGGAGGUGAGCGGAAUAUGUCAUGUAGCGGUGAAAUGCUUAGAUAUGACAUAGAACACCUAUUGCGAAGGCAGCUAACUACGCGAAUAUUGACGCUGAGGCACGAAAGCGUGGGGAUCAAACAGG
rnacentral:rRNA from 1 species